AAUGUAUAAGUUUUUUGUAUUUAUUUGGAGUAUUGGAUUAGGACACUGAUAAAUUAUAUUUUUUCAGUUACAAUUCAAACGUCACUUUUGUGGUCAUAAAUCAUGAUUUUAUUCCAAUAUUCCUAUAGUGUUUAUAAUCUGAUUGCAGACAACCAUCGUCGUCGUCGAGAAGAGAAAAAAAUAUGGAAGAAGCCUGUGUGACUAUGGAAAUCGACCGCAGUCGCGAUUGUGCAUUUCUGGUGAUGAAGCAAUAUAUCACUAUAUUGAUACAAUUCCGAAUUAGCAGACAAUCUAAUUUAACUAACAGGCGACAGCUGCAGAGUGCAGACUUAAAAGGUUGACGGUCCAGAAGUUUCAACCACCAAAAUCGGCAUUGAUGACGCCGAUAUAGUCAUAUAGAUACUUCGGUAUAGAACACUAGAACCUACUCUUCGCCGGCGUCGUGCACAACUUUUAUUAUUAUCGCCACGGUAUUUUACUCAACAACCCGGCUUAUCCGGCGCAAUGUACAGGCAAUUUCACUACAUUAACGUGUAGAUUUGUUGGUGUAUGGUGUAACUCGAUAUAAAUAUAUACUCUCAUCUGAAAAAUGAAGAUACAAGUUAUAUGAACGUCGAUAUUUAAUACUUAUAAUUUAUCAGUCCAAUUUAAUAUUUCGUACAGCACCUACUGUUUUUCAACGAAGUGAAGACAAAAACAUGAAAACACUAAACACAUCACGAUAGACUUGCAUAAUAUAAUAUUGCAUUGUACAUACUUAAAUUUAUAUUACGAUGUAAUAAUUGUUAAAAAAAAUUUGUUCUAUUACAGAUUUAUCAUCAUAUUUAUUUAAAAUAUAAAUAAUCUCGUAUACUAAUAAUAUUUUGUGCACAUUAUAUGGUCAUAUAAUAACCCUAUUGACCGGUUAAUGUGUUUAGCAAAUUGCAAAUGAGUCUAUCAUCUUCACACAAACUAAUAAACACGUUAAUUUACAUACCUAAUUUUAUUAAUUUUAAUUAUCAAUGUUACUUAAUUUAAUAUAUCCUAAAGUUAGUUAUUUUACACUAUUAUGUAUAAAUCAUAUAUGUAUUAAUUUUACUUCUGUAAAAAUUGUCCA